CGGAUCAGCAUGCCGCGGUGAAUACGUUCCCGGGCCUUGUACACACCGCCCGUCACACCAUGGGAGCCGGUAAUACCCGAAGUCAGUAGUCCAACCUCGUGAGGACGCUGCCGAAGGUAGGAUUGGCGACUGGGGUGAAGUCGUAACAAGGUAAC
rnacentral:rRNA from 1 species